AUCGUUUCGAAUAUUUGUACAUUUUGGGAUGAUGUGCCAUGUAAUCUGAUGGUAGUGUAAAGAUGAAUAGAAUUUAUUUACACUCCAUAGAGCUUUCAGAGACCCAAGACAAGGAUGUAGAACAUAUCAUAGCACAAAUAUUUGUUUCUAAUACAAAUAUAAAUGAAAUAGUUAUGAAAAUAUACAGUCAACUUCAGUGUUACAAUAAAAAUAAUUACACAAGAAAUCAUAACCACUACAUGAAUUUAUAAUAACAGGAUUUUUUUUGAGUUUGGAGAAAGAGCCCAGAAGAAAAGAGAAAAUCAAACUCUAACUUUGACCAAAGAAUAUUAUUCAAGAUCGCCCUGAUGAUGAAGGCAGUAUGACCUCUGAAACGUUGGUGGACAUCUACCAUACUACACGGUGCAACAUCCCAGAAGACAGCAAUCUUCAUACUCACCGCUGUGAAAACCUCAAAUCCUACGAUCAAUAAUGUACUCAUUGCCAGGAAAAUAAAACAAUUUUCACAACAUCCUUAAUCAAA